GAUGAACGCUGGCGGCGUGCCUAACACAUGCAAGUCGAACGGAGUCCAGCCUUAGAGACCUUCGGGUCAAAGAGGGGAAGACUGAGUGGCGGACGGGUGAGUAACACGUGGGCAACCUGGCUCAUAUAGGGGGAUAACAGAGAGAAAUUUCUGCUAAUACCGCAUAAGCACACACUGCCGCAUGGCAGAGUGUGAAAAGAGAAUCGCUAUGAGAUGGACCCGCGUCUGAUUAGCCAGUUGGCAGGGUAAGAGCCUACCAAAGCGACGAUCAGUAGCCGAUUAGAGAGGAUGAACGGCCACAUUGGGACUGAGACACGGCACAAACUCCUACGGGAGGCAGCAGUGGGGGAUAUUGCAAAAUGGGGGGAACCCUGAUGCAGCGACGCCGCGUGAGUGAAGAAGUAUUUCGGUAUGUAAAGCUCUAUCAGAAGGGAAGAUAAUGACAGUACCUGAAUAAGAAGCCCCGGCUAACUACGUG
rnacentral:rRNA from 1 species